UACGUAGGUGGCAAGCGUUGUCCGGAAUUAUUGGGCGUAAAGCGCGCGCAGGCGGUCCUUUAAGUCUGAUGUGAAAGCCCACGGCUCAACCGUGGAGGGUCAUUGGAAACUGGGGGACUUGAGUACAGAAGAGAAGAGUGGAAUUCCACGUGUAGCGGUGAAAUGCGUAGAGAUGUGGAGGAACACCAGUGGCGAAGGCGACUCUUGGUCUGUAACUGACGCUGAGGCACGAAAGCGUGGGGAGCAAACAGG
rnacentral:rRNA from 1 species